rnacentral:tRNA from 1 species
GGUGUAGCUCAGUGGUAGAGCACAUGCUUAGCAUGUGUGAGGCUCUGGGUUUGAUCCCUAGAACCAUCA